GGCUCCUUCGGGAGUACACGAGCGGCGAACGGGUGAGUAACACGUGAGCAAUCUGCCCUUCACUUUGGGAUAACUUCCGGAAACGGAAGCUAAUACCGAAUACGACCACUUCACGCAUGUGAUGGUGGUGGAAAGUUCCGGCGGUGAAGGAUGAGCUCGCGGCCUAUCAGCUUGUUGGUGAGGUAAUGGCUCACCAAGGCUUCGACGGGUAGCCGGCCUGAGAGGGUGACCGGCCACACUGGGACUGAGACACGGCCCAGACUCCUACGGGAGGCAGCAGUGGGGAAUAUUGGACAAUGGGCGAAAGCCUGAUCCAGCAACGCCGCGUGAGGGAUGACUGCCUUCGGGUUGUAAACCUCUUUCAGCGGGGACGAAGCGAAAGUGACGGUACCCGCAGAAGAAGCACCGGCCAACUACGUGCCAGCAGCCGCGGUAAUACGUAGGGUGCGAGCGUUGUCCGGAAUUAUUGGGCGUAAAGGGCUCGUAGGCGGUUUGUCACGUCGGGAGUGAAAACUCAGGGCUCAACCCUGAGCCUGCUUCCGAUACGGGCAGACUAGAGGUAUGCAGGGGAGAACGGAAUUCCUGGUGUAGCGGUGAAAUGCGCAGAUAUC
rnacentral:rRNA from 1 species